UGAACCAAUCAUAGAAAUUUAAAAAAAAAUCAUGCAUCAAUAAUGUCACAUUUUUUGUGAAUUACAUACUUUUAUUUAACUAAAGUUUUGAAUGAUUAUUUAAAAUGUUCAAGCCGUUACAGGCGACGCGCAAUGACUCUCGGGAUAGCUGUGAAGGACGCAUUCGUUCUAUCCUUAAAGUCUCGCUGAAAUAAGGUCGCGUUUUGGGGCCGCAUUUAAAGCAACAUAUGAAUCGGGACAGCCUGGUGUGACGCACGCAAUCGGUCUUAAAAUGCGGCCUUCAGAGGACGCAGCCCAAGAGUUGGGACGCAGCGUGUACGUGUCUGACCCGUCCGUCAAGCUGUGACGUCACACGGCCAGUUCAACAUAGGCCUACACAUGCCACAACAUACUCCCGAAAGAUGGACUGGUUAAAUAAAUACUAAACUUAUAGAAUUCAGCAGGAUAUAGAAUUCAUUGCGUGACACUUGUGUAAUGCAUGUGACUCAAGAUUACGUCUCAUCAAACGUCACGUGGAACUAAUUGAAGAUGGACAUGUGACAUUUCUUUGUGAGGAACAAGAUGGAGGAAAGAGAGCACAGAAAUGAAGAGAGGUCGAGUUCCUGAAGAUGCUGAAGGGUUCACAUGUGACAGGCUCAUGAAGUCUCCUGCUAGAUGAAGGUUAAAUGGUAACAUGGCAGUGAUCGCUGUGGAAAAAUAACUGAGGUUAAUGUGAGACACGUCACAGCAGUUUUUAGCUCAGGGCAGUGAGAUAUCUGAAACUCUCAGAGCAUCACAUGGACGACAGCUCUUUGUAGAACCGAUUUCAUAUUAAUACAACAGUCAUAAGGGGUUUGAAUCAUUUUUCCAAAUCUCAUCCUCCAC